AUUGAACGCUGGCGGCAGGCCUAACACAUGCAAGUCGAGCGGAUGAAGGGAGCUUGCUCCUGGAUUCAGCUGCGGACGGGUGAGUAAUGCCUAGGAAUCUGCCUGGUAUUGGGGGAUAACGUCCGGAAACGGGCGCUAAUACCGCAUACGUCCUGAUGUAGAACGUGGUGGAUCUUCGGACCUCACGCUAUCAGAUGAGCCUAGGUCGGAUUAGCUAGUUGGUGUGGUAAAGGCCUACCAAGGCGACGAUCCGUAACUGGUCUGAGAGGAUGAUCAGUCACACUGGAACUGAGACACGGUCCAGACUCCUACGGGAGGCAGCAGUGGGGAAUAUUGGACAAUGGGCGAAAGCCUGAUCCAGCCAUGCCGCGUGUGUGAAGAAGGUCUUCGGAUUGUAAAGCACUUUAAGUUGGGAGGAAGGGCAGUAAGUUAAUACCUUGCUGUUUUGACGUUACCAACAGAAUAAGCACCGGCUAACUUCGUG
rnacentral:rRNA from 1 species